rnacentral:tRNA from 1 species
CAGAAAGUAGUAUAAUAAAAUAUGUGAAUUUUGGGGAUUUAAGCUGAGGAAUCCUUUCUGA